rnacentral:lncRNA from 1 species
UUGGGGAAGCAACAGGCUCAGGAGACGGAGGAGAUUUUGCUGGUGGAGAACUAACAGGAACUGGAGUCGGUGGGGAGCUAACUGGAGUCGCGGAUGGAGGUGGUGUGGCCAAUGGAGCCGCAACUGGAACUGAAACCGUCUGUUUCGGUGGAGAAGCUGCUGGUGUUGCCGCAGGUGGUGAUGAUACGGGAGCUGGUGUUGUAGGUUUUGUUGGUGCUGCUACUGGCACGGCAGGAGUUGUUGGAGUCGCGGGAGUUGAUGUCGGUGUCGCAGC